AUUUUGACAGAAACCGGAUAAAUUUUUAGCGUCAAUAGACAUAGGGAAGAAGGACCGGAUGGAGUUAGCCUCAGUGUUUAGCACUGGGUGUGCCUCCCGUCAGGAGCAGGGGAAGGAAGGGACUAUGGGCCCUUACAGCACUGCCUGCAUCACCUCUCUGCUGGAACAGGGGCAUGAGAGGGUGUAUGGUCCUGGUCUCCAUCCAUUUCUAAAGGCUGCAUUGCCCUGGCUUGGUCUUCCAUCUCGCCAAGAAAGAUGUCCUCCCCACCAUUCACCUUCUUUCCUUUUUUAAAUGAAAAAUAAUGACAACUGGAAUGUCUGGAAGUCCCAGAUGAGGAAAAGAUGGCAGCACCUUGUGCCAGAGCUUCUGUGGGGGCUUUCAUUGGUGCUGUAGCACCAAGCUUGGUAGAGGUUGGAGGGUAAGGAUCUCAAGCCUCCAGGGAGAAGAGGUCUCCACAAAAUGUAUGGUAACCCUUUGCUUGGGGCUGCUUCUCAAGAGGUGCUGUAAUCCUGCAGAAAUGUGCUGUGCUGGGGCUCUCGGUCCUGGAUCUUCUUGUGACUGAAUGCCCCACGUCUGUCUCUGGGAAGCAACAACCUUCCCCUUGAUCUCCUGUGGGGGAUCCUUCUGGUGCAGACAAGUGGCUACCGCCUUGUAUAACAUGGUAUCUGUCAAAGCCUCUAGAACAAGCUCCAGGGAUGUGGUGCAAGGCAGGGCUUCAACUGCUCAGGGCCACCCUGUUGGCAGGGAGAUGUGAAUCUCCUGGAUGUUGAGGCAUGGGUAUGCGAUUGGGCACGGAGGGGAAACACUGCUGUCAGAGAAGGACUUUCAAAGGCUUGGAAGAGCCCUGGGAGGUAUGGAUGAGAAGAGGAUCUCUUGGGUUCAGUUUACA